UUGAUCCUGGCUCAGAACGAACGCUGGCGGCAGGCUUAACACAUGCAAGUCGAGCGCUUCGCAAGAGGAGCGGCAGACGGGUGAGUAACGCGUGGGAAUCUACCCAUCUCUACGGAACAACUCCGGGAAACUGGAGCUAAUACCGUAUACGUCCUUCGGGAGAAAGAUUUAUCGGAGAUGGAUGAGCCCGCGUUGGAUUAGCUAGUUGGUGGGGUAAUGGCCUACCAAGGCGACGAUCCAUAGCUGGUCUGAGAGGAUGAUCAGCCACACUGGGACUGAGACACGGCCCAGACUCCUACGGGAGGCAGCAGUGGGGAAUAUUGGACAAUGGGCGAAAGCCUGAUCCAGCCAUGCCGCGUGAGUGAUGAAGGCCCUAGGGUUGUAAAGCUCUUUCAACGGUGAAGAUAAUGACGGUAACCGUAGAAGAAGCCCCGG
rnacentral:rRNA from 1 species